GACGUAGGGCGCGAGCGUUGUCCGGAUUUAUUGGGCGUAAAGAGCUCGUAGGCGGCUUGCCACGUCUGCCGUGAAAACCAGGAGCUUAACUGUUGGCUUGCGGUUGAUACGGGUUGGCUGGAGUUCGGUAGGGGAGACUGGAAUUCCUGGUGUAGCGGUGAAAUGCGCAGAUAUCAGGAGGAACACCGGUGGCGAAGGCAGCCUUCUGGGCCAACACUGACGCUCAUGCACGAAAGCGUGGGGAGCAAACAGG
rnacentral:rRNA from 1 species